AUACGAGCAAAGAUGAAGAAGAGUAAACAUUCCGAAUGUUGCAGAGAGCUGAUGGUUGGUGCGAAUCAGUACAGGGUGAAUGUUGAAUGGGCUUCUGAGCUCCUAAGCUGAACUGCGGAGUAGGCUUAGCGGAAUGUCUUACCGUUACAUGAGACAAAAUAUCGAGACCACCUGUGGUCUUUGUAUGGAUAAGUGCGUUUAUUGUAAAAUAAACGAAUGAAGGUGGUACCACGGGAGUUCCUCGUCCUUUUU
rnacentral:ncRNA from 1 species